rnacentral:lncRNA from 1 species
CCCUCUUGUACAUUUGACAUCCAAAGUACUUAAUUUUCACUGUACAUUCUGGAUGAUUUGCAGAUUUUCAAGAGGUCCUCCCAGCCAAUCGAGGGAGCUGUCAGUGAGUCCAGUUUUGCCCAGUGCAACGAAACCCCUACCAACAACUCCAGAGGUCCAGAAAAACAUUACAGAUGUAGCUCCCUUGCUCACUGUUCGGACCAGAGAAGUAGAGCCAAUCACUGGGCAGUACCUCGUAGAACUCCGCCAAUACCCAGAGGAAUGAUUAAUCCAAUUGGAGGAUCCAAGUAUUCUGGCCCUUCUUACCAACAUCUUCAAGAGUUGGAGUCGUCUCAGAAGGAGGUCGAAGGGUGUCAGACUGUAGGGGUGAGGAGUGACCGACGACAGGAUUCCUUUCAAAAUAUGCAACCCCCCUUGUUGCUAGAACAGUCGUGGGAGAGAAGGCUGGAGGAGACCUGCAGUCCUCUGGAACCCAACCGGGACCAUGACAACUCCACCUCCACCAUGAGCCUCAGGCCCCCCAGUCGUCCCAGCUGCUCAUCCCCUCCUCCGUUCCGGACCUGCUCUAUCCCCAUCAUCCCCUCGGUUCAGGGCCACCAUGAAGAGGCUUCAUGCUUGCAAAAGACCGCUGGCCCUUCUACCUGCAGCACCACAAACAGUAGACAACUAGAAGAAAAGCACUCCUUCGUCACGCUUCACCACACCUCCACACCCUGCUCCUCCUCUGUGAGAGACCAGCAGCAGGAUGAGGUGGCCCUUCUUCUGGUGAAGGCUCAGGAGCAUCUUAGGGCUCUGGCCCACAGGAAGCAAGAAGACAGUGGCGGCUUCGCCCCUCCACCGCCCAGAGACACUGUGUGCUUCCUGACACUCAAUGGUGGAGCAGCGGGGGGGUUGAGCGCUAAUGGACCCACUGAAACCCAAUUACUGAGCCUUAGAGAACCGAACAGAGACUCAGCCCAACCCUGCCAAUAAUACAACAGUGUUUAGGCCAUAAUUUCGUGUCUGGAUCUACAAUAAAAUAACCCUGGUGUCUUGUCAAGAUUGCAGAGUUCUGCAUAAAAGGGAUGAGAAGAUACUGAAUAGAGAAAAAAAUAUCAUGGAAAAAACAAACAAUGUGCAUAUUGUAUUGAAGGAUGAACAGAGGGAUGGUCUAUGAAGUUGUGAAGACAGAAAUUAUGUAUAUGCAUUUAUUUAAAUGAGAAGCUUCUUAGACGAAAUAAACCAAAUAGUCUGUCAUCUUCAUGGUGUUUUUAAUUGUAAAAAAAAUAUAUAUAAAUAUAUAUGGAUAUACAUUUAUGGAAUUAAAAAGGUGACCAAGUUCAGUUGAGAAAUACAGGAAUGAUGUACCUUCUUUCUUUUUUUUGUAACAACUCCUCCACAUUUUUCAGGCUUGGAGCAUGGUUGUAUGGACCCCAUGCACCCUUACCCCUCCAUUUUGCUACAUGUUGUGAAUCGACGAUACAGAAAAACAUGGCUGCCAGAGGAACAAUAAAGCAAGAAUGUCUACUCUAAAACAAUCUCUCAACUAUGAUUGUGAGUCUACCCAGCCAAGGAUUUUAACGGUUCCCCUCAGCAGUACGACAGCAGUACGCUGAGGAAUCAUUACCGAGCGGUAUAAAAGAGACUUUGCGGAUUAGCUACUCCAGUCUAACCUAGUGAUAAGUCACUGGCUUGGGACAGCAGGUAGAUAAGACCGACCUGAUGCUAAUGUGGUUGGAUUGUUUGGUGUCUUAUACCUUUUUGUACGUGAGUGGAAUUCCUCCUGUGCUGACUAAGUCUUAUGUUGAGCAUGGGUGUUUUUUUCCUCUGUAUUUACAUUUUAGUCAUCUAGCAGACGCUCUAAUCCAGAGCAAUUUACAGGAGUUAGUGCAUAUACAUUUUCAUACUUUUUCAUACUAACUGUCUAACCCCACACAAUUCUGGUACACGCACACAUUCCCUCACUACACAACGAUGUGUACAGGUGUGUUGGGGUAUGUGGCAGGAAUGGAGAGACCAAGGACAACAGGCUGAAGUAAGUGGAGGAGUUUGUGUUUUCUUUUUCAAUUUGUUCUUAAUGAACAAUCAGCUGCUUUCUGUGGAGGGGGGGGGACAUGGGUCAGGGAUUUUCAUGAGAAGUGCGGUACUUAUGGAAUGGGGACUUAUAUUUCUGUUUGAAUUUCCAACCAAAUGUUGAAAAAAAAAUAUUUUGCUGAAGCUGUUUGAUUGCUUUCAAUGGUUAUGCCAAUCCCGACCCCAUACCCACCUCUACACACACAUACCCUCCCUAACCCAUUAAAAUGUGCAUGCAGAUAAUGAUUGUUUUUCAGAUUAACACCAUUCUAUAGUGAGUUGCUGAUUUCGCUCACAAUGCCUGGAAUUGUCCAAUAUUUACUACAGUCCUUUUCCAUAUAAAAUCAGCCCUUGUCAAAGAGAUUUUCAGACAGGCCUUAGGUGGCAAGGGCAUGGGAAGGUACAGAAGGUUGUUUUCCAUACUGCCAACAAAGCUUUUGUUGUAUGUUAUUUUUAUACGUUAUAUUUGCUGUUGAUCUCCUCAAAGAGGUCAAGCCAGAUGUCGCAGUAAUAAAGUCUCAAGGUUUACAGAUAAAAGCAAUCAAUUUCUUUUAGGACAUAUCAGUGUGCCCUUCAAACAAAAUGUAAAUUUUUUUGCUCAAUGUACAAAGCACCAGUUUUAUAAAAGCAUUGUCAGUCAUCAAGUGGAAAUGAGCCAUUAUCUGUAAACCUCUAAAACAUAUUACUCUACCUGCAACAUUUGCAAUCCAUUUUCAACAUUGUGUCUUUGGCAGUCAUGAUUCCUAUAUAUCUACCACGCUGGUUGUUGCAAUUAUAAAAAUUCAUUUUCAAGUAUUCAUUUUCUCUUGUCUGCUAUAUUCCACUUUUGGUUAACUUUAUGAGAGAAGCAGCAGUAAAAAAAAAAAAAAAAAGACAUAUGACCACAUGUCAUAAUUUAUGACCACAACUAAUAAUUGCUAAAUGUAUUGUCCUUUUCGGCAAAUGUUUCAAGACUAAGUUGAUCAUAGGGUAUCUAUAUUAGAUACGUAUAUAGAGCGCUGCAGUCUCUCCGUUUAUGUCAAAAUAAUUUGCUUAUUGGUGUGUGUGUGUGCGUGGGAGCGAGCAUAUGGUAAUAUAAAGUCAUGCAGUCUAUACAUGGGCCCAUAUGUCUGUGCAGGAGAUGUUGAUCAGCAGAUCAGAGAAUGGUAGGCCAAAUAUAUUACUUGAGCAGUUUAGAGCCAACACUUGCUUAGAGCCACACAGCUUCAGAAUCAUAUAUGGCCUACCAUGUUAAAAAUGUGGGCAUCAUUUUUUUUUAUAUAAUUUGUCUUCUGAGACAAAUCCAGGUUUCGGUUUGAGCAAAUCCAAGAUGCAUUCUCAUAGCAGAAAAAAGUAUUCAUCAUUGCUUAUUUCCAUUUGAAAAGGUCUGUGUUUCUUUUUCUAAAGUUUAUUCAGUUCUGAGCAGUGAGGCAGAAGGAAAAGUUAAUCCCUGGUGAAAGUUCUAAACCAGUGGACAGGUAAACCCCUCUUUAAAGUUGAUCUGCCUUCAAAGUGACAGUGCAAGGAAAGAAGCAACAGUGCAUGGAAAGAAACAAUCCACUUUUAGUCCUGCUUUUACUUUAACUUGUUGUGUGUGUGCUGGUGUGUGUGUAAGCGCUUACAGUUCAUUUCAUAAAGAAUACAUGUGUACGCUUAUAUGUGUGAAAAACAAUAGCGAUGUUCAGCAGGUACAGGCACUAGUAUAGAUACUGGUGUUGUUAUUCAUCUUCUAUCACAAAUGUUCUGAUUAUUCAAGAACUUACACAGAGACAGAGAUAUCUAGUUACACUUUGAAUUGAUUUGACUAUUGCAAUCAAAUAUGAAGAUAUGAAGGCGUUAAAAAUUUCACUAUUACAAUGAACCAAUUAACAAACUUGUGUUACAUGUAAAAAUAUUUAUGGGAGAGAUAUUAGCAAUAGACAUGGAAUUUUAGAAACAGUAUGGACUUCAAAUGUCAGACCAGGUCUGAUAUCCCUUUGAAUCAGCAAAAUAUUACUACAAUACAGACAAUAUAGAUAAUUGAACUUAUAACAAAGAUAACUGAUGUGCAAAUAGAUGCUGCAAUAGCAUCCUGAUAUGAAGUGGUAACUGUGGUUGUUUUGACACCCUGCUGCCUCAAAAUGUGUGAAUUAUCCAGUCACUCAUUCAUAUGCUCAUCAGUCUGCUAGUGUACAUGGUUAGGUAAUACAUUAUAUGAUACAGCUUCAUACUGUAUCAUGCCACAGAACAUGUUAAUGUUUGUGUCACGGCUUCGGGGGUUGAGAGGAGCAAGGAGGAACCGGAGAAGGCGUGAUGGAAUGAAGGUUUAAUGUUUCUCAGCGAGAGAAAUCAGUACAGGUAUAUAACAAAGCGUUGAACAGCUCUUCCAUUUAGUAGAGACAAUUACACACAAAGACAGGGGGAGCAGAGGGAACAUAUAUACCGGGGGAAACAGCGAUGAUGAGGAACAGGUGCACAAACGAGACACAGGUGAAAUGUAUGAUGAAGACGGUGGCGUCAGAAAGCAGGUGACGUCGACCGCUGGGGCCCGCCCGCUGCAGGGGGAGGUGAACCAGCAGAGGUCGCAGUUGUCACAGUACCCCCCC